rnacentral:rRNA from 1 species
UACGAAGGGGGCUAGCGUUGUUCGGAUUUACUGGGCGUAAAGCGCACGUAGGCGGAUUGUUAAGUCGGGGGUGAAAUCCUGGAGCUCAACUCCAGAACUGCCUUCGAUACUGGCGUGCUUGAGGACUGGAGAGGAGACUGGAAUUUACGGUGUAGCGGUGAAAUGCGUAGAUAUCGUAAGGAAGACCCAGGGGGAAACCAGCCGACUGGGCAUCUACUGACGCUGAGGUGCGAGAGCGUGGGGAGCGAACCGG